rnacentral:rRNA from 1 species
AUUGAACGCUGGCGGCAGGCCUAACACAUGCAAGUCGAACGCGUGGCGGACGGGUGAGUAAUGUCUUGGAAACUGCCUGAUGGAGGGGGAUAACUACUGGAAACGGUAGCUAAUACCGCAUACCAUCAGAUGUGCCCAGCUGGGGUUAGCUAGUUGGUGGGGUAACGGCUCACCAAGGCGACGAUCCCUAGCUGGUCUGAGAGGAGUACCAGCCACACUGGAACUGAUACACGGGCCAGACUCCUACGGGAGGCAGCAGUGGGGAAUAUUGCACAAUGGGCGCAAGCCUGAUGCAGCAAUGCCGCGUGUAUGAAGAAGGCCUUCGGGUUGUAAAGUACUUUCAGCGGGGAGGCGUUACCAGCAGAAGAAGCACCGGCUAACUCCGUGCCAGCAGCCGCGGUAAUAC